GACGAACGCUGGCGGCGUGCCUAAUACAUGCAAGUAGAACGCUGAAGAGAGGAGCUUGCUCUUCUGGAAGAGUUGCGAACGGGUGAGUAACGCGUAGGUAACCUGCCUCUUAGCGGGGGAUAACUAUUGGAAACGAUAGCUAAUACCGCAUAAAAGUCGACAUUGCAUGAUGUUGACUUGAAAGGUGCAACUGCAUCACUAAGGGAUGGACCUGCGUUGUAUUAGCUAGUUGGUGAGGUAACGGCUCACCAAGGCGACGAUACAUAGCCGACCUGAGAGGGUGAUCGGCCACACUGGGACUGAGACACGGCCCAGACUCCUACGGGAGGCAGCAGUAGGGAAUCUUCCGCAAUGGGCGAAAGCCUGACGGAGCAACGCCGCGUGAGUGAAGAAGGAUUUCGGUUCGUAAAGCUCUGUUGUUAGGGAAGAAUGAUUGUAUAGUAACUAUAUACAGUAGAGACGGUACCUAACCAGAAAGCCACGGCUAACUACGUGCCAGCAGCCGCGGUAAUACGUAGGUGGCAAGCGUUGUCCGGAAUUAUUGGGUGUAAAGCGCGCGCAGGUGGUUUAAUAAGUCUGAUGUGAAAGCCCACGGCUCAACCGUGGAGGGUCAUUGGAAACUGUUAAACUUGAGUGCAGGAGAGAAAAGUGGAAUUCCUAGUGUAGCGGUGAAAUGCGUAGAGAUUAGGAGGAACACCAGUGGCGAAGGCGGCUUUUUGGCCUGUAACUGACACUGAGGCGCGAAAGCGUGGGGAGCAAACAGG
rnacentral:rRNA from 1 species